UAAACACCCUCACACAUAAUCAGAGACACACACAGAUGACUGCAUGUCUCAUUGUAUACUCCCCAGAAAGCAGUUGGAACUCGCUGGUGGCCACUGGAGGUUAUGAUAACAUGAAAUUAGGCUUUGGCAGAGUCCAUCUACUUUCACACCUCAAUGCCUUCCUAAAUUUACCAACAUUUACAGCACAUAACCGUACUGAGCCCAGGAAACCCCGGCCUUUCCUGAGCUGCAUGAUUCAUCAGGAUCAUUUUGGGUCUAUUCAGUUUUGUUCGUAUAGCUCAAUUUCACAAUGAAACUAAUCUCAGAUCAUUUGGCACUGAGGAGAAAGCCAAAACAGCUAUCAGCUCCUCUUGGGGAUCCAGGCUGGGAAAGGAAAAAAGGAUCUAAAAAGGACCCCUCACAAUGAUUCUGCACAAUCACAGCUGAAGUCAUUUUCACCAGCAGUGGUACCGGCUGAUGGAUGACCAUAGAAGACUUGAUUCUAUAAACUGUUUAUAUAUUUAUUUAUGGGUGUGUGUAUGCUAUUUUCAUGAGUAACCGUAUCACUCAGACUGUGACAGAGUUUAAUCUUUAACUCCAUUCCUGCUUAUGGUCCGUGUUUUAUAUUGGCAGCCUCCAGGAAAACUAAUAGAAAAGACAGAAACCUAUUGUAUUUCAUAUUUGCUCCAUUUUACCACGCUUGUACAGAUGGCAAAGAUAGCUAAUCUGAACCACUGAGGUUGUCAAUACCUGAGCAUGCAGGGUGACGGUAAUCUCAUCACGCGACACAUGGACUAUAGUCCAGGCAAUGAGCGAGGGAGAGGUCUUUCUUAUUGGUCUUGCUUUCUGUCCAGAGAUGUGGCCAUAAAUGGAUGAUAGAGCUCAAUCAUGCAAGUAACACCACCGCAGAUGCAUGCAAUAUUUGGAGUAAUAAGGUAAUAAUACCUUGACAAGCACGAGUCUGAUAAGGUUAAAGUCAGCACAGCAGUUAAAACUGUGUAACAGCAAGUCAGACUAUUCAAUGGCUUAUAUGCAUAGGCUGGUUACAAUGUAUUAAGUUUACAUACAUUUAGUAAAUUUAUAAUAUUUAAAGAAUUAUUUAAUAUAUAUUUUUAAGUCUCUCUGAUCAGAUGACGAAUAAAGAGUCAGAACAAUUGAAUUUAUACCAGAUUAGUGAUACACAAAAUAAUGUGAUAAUGC